rnacentral:rRNA from 1 species
UACGUAGGGUCCGAGCGUUGUCCGGAAUUAUUGGGCGUAAAGGGCUCGUAGGCGGUUUGUCACGUCGGGAGUGAAAACUCAGGGCUCAACCCUGAGCGUGCUUCCGAUACGGGCAGACUAGAGGUAUGCAGGGGAGAACGGAAUUCCCGGUGUAGCGGUGGAAUGCGCAGAUAUCAGGAGGAACACCGGUGGCGAAGGCGAGUCUCUGGACAUUUCCUGACGCUGAGGCACGAAAGCCAGGGGAGCAAACGGG